rnacentral:pre_miRNA from 1 species
AGGCAGUGUAGAAUUAGCUGGCUGCUUUGCUUUGACUGCAGCAGUCACUACUACACUGUUAC